GAUGAACGCUGGCGGCGUGCCUAAUACAUGCAAGUCGAGCGAACAGACGAGGAGCUUGCUCCUCUGACGUUAGCGGCGGACGGGUGAGUAACACGUGGAUAACCUACCUAUAAGACUGGGAUAACUUCGGGAAACCGGAGCUAAUACCGGAUAAUAUAUUGAACCGCAUGGUUCAAUAGUGAAAGACGGUGUUGCUGUCACUUAUAGAUGGAUCCGCGCCGCAUUAGCUAGUUGGUAAGGUAACGGCUUACCAAGGCAACGAUGCGUAGCCGACCGGAGAGGGUGAUCGGCCACACUGGAACUGAGACACGGUCCAGACUCCUACGGGAGGCAGCAGUAGGGAAUCUUCCGCAAUGGGCGAAAGCCUGACGGAGCAACGCCGCGUGAGUGAUGAAGGUCUUCGGAUCGUAAAACUCUGUUAUUAGGGAAGAACAAAUGUGUAAGUAACUAUGCACGUCUUGACGGUACCUAAUCAGAAAGCCACGGCUAACUACGUG
rnacentral:rRNA from 1 species